UACGGAGGGUGCGAGCGUUGUCCGGAAUCAUUGGGCGUAAAGGGCGCGUAGGUGGCGGGACAAGCGUGCGGUGAAAGCUCGGGGCUCAACCCCGAGUCGGCCGUGCGAACUGUCUUGCUUGAGCACUGUAGAGGCAGGCGGAAUUCCGGGUGUAGCGGUGGAAUGCGUAGAGAUCCGGAAGAACACCGGUGGCGAAGGCGGCCUGCUGGGCAGUUGCUGACACUGAUGCGCGACAGCGUGGGGAGCAAACAGG
rnacentral:rRNA from 1 species